CAUCAUUGGGUAGAUUGGAUUCAACCACUGUGUCGGUGCGUCCCCGCAUGGACACAGGUAGGUUGUUAGCUAGUGGGGGUUUUGAUAAGGGUAAUGGUCACUCGCAGUCGAUGCUGACGCGAGAUCUGGGACCAUACCCCUUCAAUGUUGGCGGAGAAUGUUGUGCUUGGAGAAUGCUGUGCUCGGUGGAUGCUAUCAAGAUGAAGAAAUUAGGGUUUUUUCUUUGACACACGGUGGAGCAGAUGAGGAUUGAAUGGGGAUGAUGAACUGAGGAUGAUAUCAAACUACUUUGUUCGUGACGAUGAUGAAUUGAGCAAGUUUUGGGGUUUUAGGGUUUUUGAUAUGAGUUUUGCUUAUUUUUGAACAAAUUGAUUUGGGUAUACUUUAUUGUCUUACAUCCAAGGCUUAUCAUAUAUGUUUUGUUUCUUGAUUCCUAGCUUUUAAAAUUUUAUUCUUAA